UACGUAGGAGGCAAGCGUUGUCCGGAAUUACUGGGUGUAAAGCGCGUGUAGGUGGUGGGCCAAGUCUGUGGUGAAAUCGCCCGGCUCAACUGGGCGGGGUCCGUGGAAACUGGUCGACUGGAGGACGGUAGAGGCGAGUGGAAUUCCCGGUGUAGUGGUGAAAUGCGUAGAGAUCGGGAGGAACACCUGUGGCGAAGGCGGCCCCCUGGGCCGGCCCUGACACUGAGACGCGAAGGCGUGGGGAGCGAACGGG
rnacentral:rRNA from 1 species